AUACGGAGGAUGCAAGCGUUAUCCGGAUUUAUUGGGUUUAAAGGGUGCGUAGGCGGAUGAUUAAGCGUGAGGUGAAAUGCCACUGCUCAACAGUGGAACUGCCUCGCGAACUGGUUGUCUUGAAUGCUCCUGCCGUGGGAGGAAUGUGUGGUGUAGCGGUGAAAUGCAUAGAGAUCACACAGAACACCGAUUGCGAAGGCAUCUCACGAAGGGGAGAUUGACGCUGAGGCACGAAAGCGUGGGGAUCAAACAGGAUUAGAUACCCUGGUAGUCCACGCAGUAAACGAUGAUAACUAACCGCUGGGUCGUAGUGAUUCAGUGGCCAAGCGAAAGCGAUAAGUUAUCCACCUGGGGAGCACGACCGCAAGGUUGAAACUCAAAGGAAUUGGCGGGG
rnacentral:rRNA from 1 species